UCUCUUUUCCUUUCUUUUUUUUGCCUUUCUUCUUUCCUUUAUUUUUUUUUU
rnacentral:ribozyme from 1 species